rnacentral:tRNA from 1 species
UUUUUUAUGGUGUAUUAACACAUUACAUUUUCAUUGUAAAGCUGAAGAAUUACUCUUCUAAAAAUC